GAUGAAGAACGCAGCGAAAUGCGAUAAGUAAUGUGAAUUGCAGAAUUCAGUGAAUCAUCGAAUCUUUUAACGCACAUUGCGCCCGCCAGUAUUCUGGCGGGCAUGCCUGUCUGAGCGUCAUUUCAACCCUCAUGCCCCUAGGGCGUGGUGUUGGGGAUCGGCCAAAGCCCGCGAGGGACGGCCGGCCCCUAAAUCUAGUGGCGGACCCGUCGUGGCCUCCUCUGCGAAGUAGUGAUAUUCCGCAUCGGAGAGCGAUGAGCCCCUGCCGUUAAACCCCCAACUUUCCAAGGUUGACCUCAGAUCAGGUAGGAAUACCCGCUGAACUUAAGCAUAUCAAUAAGCGGAGGA
rnacentral:misc_RNA from 1 species